ensembl:lncRNA
GUUCUUGGCAGGACUCCCUUCAGCUCCAACAAUCUAACACCACCACCACAUCUGAUCACAACAUGACAGACGCCCCCAAACACAUCCACCAUGUUCCCCCUCCUCCCUCUUUCACCACCCCCUUUUUUCACCACCGUGUCCCCGAGUCAGCACAGAUAUUUCACUAAGUCCAGUGGCAAUAAAUUAUCUUGCUCCGUGCCAGGCAAAGUAGUGUGAAAUCACAUUAGAUCUUAAUCAGAGACUAUUGUGUUUGCCUUGUUGGAUUUUUUUCUUUCAUAACGGGCGUUAUGUUUUGUUGUGUUGAGUUCGAGCUCUGAAAGUAUCCUCACUGUGGGGAUAUAUCAGAAAGCAUUUCUUCUUAUGCUGAUGCUGCUAUAGAAAGAAGUCUAAACAUUUCCCCCAUUUUGGUUAAAGACGAUAAAAGUUUAGAGACUCUAUCCAAUGGAAAAAAAACAAGAUAUUCAUUUCUGCACCAACUUUUUUUUUUUUUUUUUUUUUUUAAAGAACGGUCCAUGACGGGUGAUGAUCCUCAACACAAAACUCAGGUCCAGUGGUGCAUGAGAAAAUAAUCUUGAAUAUAAAUGUAUUUAUUUAUAGUUUUUUGUUGUUGCUUUUUUUUAAUCUGAGUCCUUCAACCGUAUGAUGUGACAGCUUGUUUUGUAGUUACCUAAAUGUGCUGAUGCAUUUUAUUUGGGACAGCUUGUGCAAAAGCGAAUAUAUCAUUCAAAAAUCUUUGUGACACAUUUGAUGACUUUCAUUUGAAGAUCUGAAGUCAACAACUGUCAAAGAAUUAGGCUGUCACCAAGUUGUGGUUUUAUAUUCCACAGACAGGUAACAAAAGGAAAGUAACUGAGUAGUAUGGGAAUUACUUCUGUUUAAUAAUCCAUCCAUUCACUUCCACUUAUCUUUUUUCAGGGAGUUCAGAGAACUGAACUCAGAAGACCUUUACACACCAAAUGCGUAAAAAUGGUGUGAAUCUCUUAAAAAUAUUUUUUUAACUGUUUGUUCAGCCAUUCACUGUAAUUUCACUGUUGAAAUUUGAGACAUUUUUGGGACCCAAAUAAACAGAUCUAACCAAUCAGACCACUGCUUAUGGGAAGUAGCG